CCAAGGAGUCUAACACGUGCGCAAGUCAUUGGGUGCAGCGAAACCUAAAGGCGCAAUGAAAGUGAAGGCAGCCUCCGGUUUGCCUAGGUAGGAUUCCUGUUCCUCGGAACGGGACGCACUACCAGCCCGUUUCGUCCUCUUCGAGGUGAGGCGGAGCAAGAGCGUGCGCGUUGGGACCCGAAAGAUGGUGAACUAUGCCUGAGCAGGACGAAGCCAGAGGAAACUCUGGUGGAAGUCCGUAGCGAUUCUGACGUGCAAAUCGAUCGUCGAACUUGGGUAUAGGGGCGAAAGACUAAUCGAACCAUCUA
rnacentral:rRNA from 1 species